UCCAUAUGCAGCUUGUCCACCGUUGUACACCGCCAAAACUACCGGUAUUAAGUGGUGAUUAAGUUUGUGAUAUAUCUUUUAAGGUUGAUGUAAUGGGUGCGAUGAAGGGUGAAGCAGGUAAUGAUUCAGGGUUCAGCUGAAUCACUAGAUACAAAGGAUGGACAGGGAAGCACAGGACUGGUUCAGACAGUCUGACAUUGGUCCGGGCGUGGGUUUGACAUUGAACAGUGAAGCAAGGAAGUUUUUCCAUGAAGCACAUGAAAAAUUCACAUCUUCCAGUGGAAACAGUUCUGAUCUAUUCUCAAAAUUUGUGAAGGAAAAUGAGGAAAGGUUUAUGUUACAUUGUUCAGCACGUGCCUCAGUUGGUGGCUUUGAACAAGAUGGACAUGACUUCAUCCGUAGCUUCUCUGCGGGUUCCGGUUGGACCAUGUCUCCUCUACGAAAUGAGGAAAAGUUACAAUCUCCAUUUUCCCAGGCUUCACACCCAUCCAAAUUAUCCAGUAUAGAUAAGACUCUGUUUGGUGGUGGAUUUCCAAUGUUUGUGGUAUCAAACAGGCGAAUGUGGGCUGAGAGUUGGAGUGAGAAUUUUUCAGUGUCACGAAGUUCAUUUCAGUACCACACAAAUGUGUGCAGAGUUAGUUCUGCACACACAACACAUCAUGAGGCGUAUGAUGUUUCGGAAAGUGAGAGUGAAGAUGAAGAUGCAGUUCCUCGGCCUAUUAGCAGUCCUCCACCUAGUGAAACAAGCUCAGUUACAACAUUGGAGAACCAGGGACAGGUAUUGGCCAUAGAAGCAGAUCUGCGUAGAGAGAAAGCUUUCAAGAUUGCUAUGGAGUUGCUGACAACAGAGAGAAGUUAUGUUGCAGUCCUUCAUUUGAUAGACCAGAUCUUUCACUUUCGAUUAGACCAAGAAAACCGAGCCCAUAACAUGUUUCCUCAGGAAGUGAUACCUCAGAUGUUUUCUAACAUAAAAUCUAUCUACCAGUUCCAUCAUGAUUUUCUCUUACCACAGCUGGAAGCCCGGAUGACAAACUGGAACCAGGAAGCCAAAAUUGGUGAUAUCAUGAAGAACUUUGCACCAUUUCUGAAAUUAUAUACAGAAUAUGUGAAGAAUUUUGACAAUGCAAUGAAUAUCAUAAGUGCAAUGGCAGCUAAAUAUCAGAGAUUUGCAGCAGUGAUGGAUGAAAUUCACAGAAUGCCAGAAUGUGGGAAUCUCACGUUAUCUCAUCACAUGCUGAGCCCAAUACAGCGCAUUCCACGUUAUGAACUACUUCUUAAAGAUUAUCUCAAGAAGUUGCCUGAUGAUUCAGAUGAUAAAGAAGACACAGAAAAAGCUCUUCACUUGGUAUCAACAGCAGCAAAUCAUGCAAAUGAAGCAAUGAAGAAAAUUGACAAGUUUAAGGAGCUAUUGGAAGUGCAGGAGAAAAUCAGUGGCGCUGUGGACCUGGUUAGCCCAACACGAGAACUGCUGAAGGAAGGAAAAAUUGUCAAAAUUUCAGCCCGCAGUGGGGACCAUCAGGAGAGGUACCUUUUCCUGUUCAGUGAUCUCCUUUUGCUGUGUUCUUCCCGCCUGCUGCCAGCUGGAAUUUCAGCAGCAUAUCGUCUGCGGGCUAAGUUCUGGUUAGAGGACACCCAGAUUCUGGAGGGUGAUGACCUUGUAACUGAAAACACAUUCUACCUCAGAGAUAGCCAUAAGAAUGUGGAGCUAUAUACACAAACUGUGGAAGAGAAGACAAGCUGGCUGGAUGCUCUGUGUACUGCUAUUGAAGAACUUUAUAAGAGGAAGUCGUCAUUGAAGCUUGGAACAGAAUGUUCCAGUCCCGUGGAUAUGCAGAAGCCUCCGAAGUAUAUCAAGAUGGAUGUCAUACACAAGUGUAUGGAUUGUAGAGCCAGUUUUGGUGUCAUAAAGCGAAAGCAUCACUGUAGAGCUUGUGGAAUGGUGGUGUGUGGAAAGUGUUCAAACCAGAAGCAUCCUCUUCAGUUCGAAGAAAACAAGCCUUCACGUGUGUGCCGUACUUGUUACCAGAAGCUUGUACAGCAGAGAUCAGCCAGCCCAGAAAGGAUUGACUCUGAUCCUGAGAAUAUAAACACCAGUUUAGCCAGAGGAAAAGGCUUGCUAGAGGUGGCUGCUGAUGCUGAAUGUAUUCUCAGUGGAUACUUGCAGCUAAGAACAAAUAAAUCAUGGGUUCGAAGAUGUUUUGCUCUUCAUCCUGAUUUUGUACUAUAUUCCUUCCGAUCACACAAGGAUCAGCGUGCUAUCACUGCCACACCCAUACCUGGUUACACCAUUGUUAAGGCAGUGGAGUUGAAGGGCGACUCUUUUGGUGAUAAAGAGAAAGUUUUCAAGAUGUAUCACACAAAGAAGGUGUAUUAUUUUCAAGCAGAGUCAAAGGAUGUUGUUGAUAAGUGGGUCCACGUCCUGCAAAUGGCAGCACUAGCAGAACUUCCUUCUCCUCAGAAAACAGAAGGGAGGUGAAAUCAAAAGAGAAGUCUUCACAUAAUAGUUUGUACCAUUUUUAAUGCUUCAUUCUGUGUUAGCUGCAUCACUCAAAAAAACUGAUUAGAUCUCAUGUAUUAACAUGUCCUUUGUAUUUUGGACAUAAAUGGUAAAUGCAUAAAUUCGUACGCAGUGGAUAAUCAUGUGAUAGCUGCGACUACCAUCACACAAUAAAUAAUGAAGAGUGUGCUAUGUUCGCUUUGGAAAAUAAUGAGGUAAUGUACUUUCUCAUAUACAUGGUGUAGGCGGAGUACAGUGAUGGAACUAAGAUAAGAUUUUAACAAGAAAUAUGUUCUAGGUAUUCCUGUCUUCAGGGCAGUUAUUUUGGAUGUGCUGUCUUUGGGCACUAGUUGGUCAGGCUUUGAUAAAUAGAUGUCCGGUGCAUGCCCAACCCCGAUGUCUGCUUGGCCACCAUGCUGCCUCAUGCUUUCCCUCUCCUGUUAUCAUUCAUGGUCUUACUAGCUUUCAUAUCAAUUGGGAUACAAAUUUCUGAGGAUGGUACUAUCAUACACAUAUAGCUCCAGUUGUUCACCUAGAUGUCCAUUUGUUCCGCACUGAGCUUGAAAUCAGUUUAGCAGUUAUAAUCGGAGUAAUCGGAGCAUGCAGUAUAUAUAGAAUUUUGCGUCUUUGGUUGGUUCUCGAAACACCAUACCUCAAUUACUUAAAUGUUUCUUUAAGAUUAACAUUUGCAAGUGUACUUGUAUGUACUCACUGAAUUGCAGGAAGAACAUAUGUAGUCUGAACCUCGGAAUACACAUAUGUUCACAACCUGCGGUACUUUUCUUUGCUGCUCCAAAGUAAGCUUGGUAAUAUUUGGCUGACGUCACUCUGCAGUUCUGAAUUGUUCAGUGUUUGUUUAUUUUCUCCACAAAACUACUAUUUUUCUCAAACACAUUCUAGGGUUACUUUUUUAUAGAUUGUAUCGCUUUAAAAUUCACAUGUAAAAGAUUAUUAUUAUUAUUAUUAUUAUUAUUAUUGUGUUUGUAUUACUGACAUUUUCAUUGAAAGUAGGCCAAACAAUAAGCCAGCCAGAAGAAACAGAUAAAUAUAACAGAAAUGACAUUUGCCAAAUGAAAUGCCUAGAUGGUCCACUAAAAUAUAUCAAACAGAAAGAGAACUUAAUAUUAGAUACAAAAGACACAUUGAUGUCAUCAGAAAUUCUUUGGGCUGCUGUUGGAACCAGGCGGUGACUGGGAUCAUGAAGGCAUGCUGCUCACCGCAUUCCAGCCUCAAGGACAAACUGUAAAUGCCGACUCCUACUGUAACAUCCUCAGGAAUCUUCAUGAAGCCAUUCAAUGGAAGUGACCAGGACUCCUCACCGAAGGCGUGUUGCUCUUGCAUGACAACGUGCGUCCCCAUACUGCCAACAAGACAAAUGAGACGCUGCGAAAUUUCAAGUGGGAAGUCUUCGAGCAUCCGCCGUAUAGCCCUGACCUUGCUCCAAGCAACUUCCAUUUGUUCGGCCCUCUCAAACAUCAUCUUUUGGCUGAACACCUGACGAUGAUG